rnacentral:rRNA from 1 species
UCUGGUUGAUCCUGUUAGUAGUCAUAUGCUUGUCUUAAAGAUUAAGCCAUGCAUGUGUAAGUAUGAACUAAUUUAGAUUGUGAAACUAUGAAUGGCUCAUUAAAUCAAUUAUAGUUUGUUUGAUAGUAUCUACUACUUGAAUAACCAUAGUAAUUCUAGAGCUAAUACAUGCAACAAACCUUGACUUCUAGAAGGGAUGCAUUUAUUAGAUAAAAGUUCAAUGCAUGCUUUGCCUAUUGCUUUGAUGAUUCAUGAUAACUUGAUUGAUUAUAUGACCGUUGUGCCUAGUGACACAUCAUUCAAAUUUCUACCCUACCAACUUUUGAUGGUAAGAUAGUGGCCUACUAUGGUGGUGAUAGGUGACAGAGAAUUAAGGUUCAAUUUCGAAGAUGGAGCUUGAAAGAAUGGCUACCACAUCCAAGGAAAGUAGCAAACGCACAAAUUACCCAAUCCUGACAUGAGGAGGUAGUGAUAAAAAUUAGCAAUUUCGGGCUUUAAAAGUCUGGUAAUUGGAAUGCUUGCAAUCUAAAUCCAUUAACAAGGAUCCAUUAGAGGGCAAAUUUGGUGCUAGCAACCAUGGUAAUUCUAGCUCCAAUAGCAUAUAUAUAAGUUGUUGUAGUUAAAAAACUUAUAGUUGGAACUAGGGUUAGGUCAUCUAGUCUACCUUAUAAUGAGCACUGAUUUACUCAUCCCUACUACCGAUGAUAUGCUCUUGGCCUUAACUGGCUAGAUCGUUCCUCUAGUGCUAUUACUUUAAAGAAAUUAGAGUGUUCAAGGCAAGCUUAUGCUUGUAUACAUUAGCAUAAGAUAACAUUAUAGGAAUUCAAUCCUAUUGUGAUGGCCUUUAGGAUCUGAGUAAUGAUUAAUAGGGACAGUCGAGGGCAUUUAUAAUUCAUAGUCAGAGAUGAAAUUCUUGGAUUUAUGAAAGAUGAGCAACUACAAAAGCAUUUGCCAAGGAUGUUUUUAUUAAUUAGGGACAAAAGUUUGGGGCUCAAAAAUGAUCAGAUACCAUCCUAGUCUCAACCAUAAAUGAUGUCGACUAGGGAUCGAUCAAUGUUACUUUUAAGUCUCUAUCAGCACCUUAUGAGAACUUAAAGUCUUUAGGUUCCAAGGGGAGUAUGGUUGCAAGGCUAAAACUUAAAAGAAUUGACAAAAGGGCACUAACCAAGAGUGGAGCCUAUAGCUUAAUUUGACUCAACACAAGGUAACUUACCAGGUCUAGACAUAAUAAGGAUUCACAAACUGAGAGCUCUUUCUUUAUUCUAUAGGUCACUGUGCAUGGCCAUUCUUAGUUGGUGGAGUGAUUUGUUUAGUUAAUUUUGUUAAUGAAUGAGACCUCAGCCUGCUAACUAGCUACACAAAGGUGAUAUUUCAUGGCUAGCUUCUUAGAGGGUCACAACGACUCUAUCGGCUUUUAGUUCUUCCUGGCACUCACCUUAUAUAGGUCAUAGGGAUGGGAUCAAUCCAGAUCCUUUUUUAGGUAACUCGAGGCACCCAUAUAUAAUUAGCUUGUGUAUUUGGUUGGGUAAUGGGAAAAGGGGCAAGGCCACACAUGGGGGUUAUGGUUUGGAAACUAGGUUGAUAAAUAGGUGGUAUAGGGUGGUAAGGGUAAGUGUUUGGUGAAAUGUUAUAGGUAAAUGGUAAAGGUCUAUGUGGGGUAUAAAGGAUAUAAAGCAUACCCUUUGAAUUAUGGCCCUUCACGAAAUAUAGCCUGAGCAUCAACCUCUUUCUUGUUAGGUGCAACACCUUUCUUUGCACUAGACAUUUCACCCCCUUCUAG